GCCCGUCCCGGCCAUGGCGCUGCCGGUGCUGUCGAGCUCGGCCGUGAAGUUCCGGCGGGUCCUGGCGCACUUCCCGCAGGAGCUCAGCCUGGCCUUCGCCUACGGCUCGGGGGUGUUCCGGCAGGCGGGGGCCGCGACCGAGCACGGCGAGAACAAUAUGCUGGAUUUCGUAUUUGCUGUUGAUGAUUCUGUGACCUGGCAUAUGAUGAACUUGUUAAAGAACAGGAGUCAUUAUUCCUUCCUAAAAUUUUUUGGGCCAAACCAGAUAACUAAUAUACAGAGCUACGGAGCAGGAAUUUACUACAACACUUUAGUGCCAUGUAAUGGUAGGAUGAUAAAAUACGGUGUAAUUAGCACUGAUACCCUGAUUGAUGAUUUAUUUCACUGGAAAACCCUCUAUGUCGCUGGGCGCCUACAAAAGCCGGUGAAAAUACUGACACAGAAUGAGAAUAGCAAGCUGCAAGCUGCUCUUGUGAGCAACUUGAAGAGUGCAGUCACAGCAGCCUUUCUCAUGUUACCAGAAAGCUUCUCUGAAGAAGACCUCUAUAUGCAGAUUGCAGGACUCUCCUACUCUGGUGAUUUCAGAAUGAUAAUAGGAGAAGACAGAUCGAAAGUGCAGAACAUAGUGAAACCCAACAUUCCCCAUUUUCAGAAGCUGUACAGUAACAUAUUACAGGACUGCCCUCAAGUGGUAUAUAAGCACCAUCUGGGAAGGAUUCAGAUUGAUAAAAGUCCAGAAGGUCAAUUUACACAACUAAUGGCUUUGCCAAAGACUCUGCAACAAAAGAUAACUUCUCUGGUAAACCCUCCUGGAAAAAACAGAGAUGUGGAAGAAAUUUUACUGCAAGUUGCCCAUGACCCUGACUGUGGAUUUGUGGUGCAUCAAGGGGAGGAUGAGUGGCAUCUGGACAUGGAGCACCUUCUGUGCUGGGCUGCAACAGUAACAGGACAAAAGCUGAAGCCGGGAGAAGUGUUGCAUUUCAGGAAUUGUGAGAUCCUCCAGUAUAGUGCAGAGUGUUAAAACCAUACUGACAGCUGGGGCAAAGAAAUCUGUAACUUACAGUAUGAAGAAAUUAUAUAAAAUGACAAAGGGAUGGAUAAGGAAGACAUCUUGAGUCUUGACAUAGUGUGCUCGGUGGGAAGCUCUUAAGAACAGAGAACACUGAUCCCAGUGCUAGAAACAGACCCCGACAGAUACAAAGCUUUUGGACAAAUGAACAGCCUGAGAAAAGAUUCAGGAUGGAGCCAUGACCUUCUGAAUGAAAUAGUUACCAGGUAAGAAGUGAGAACUGCCUGGUUUAGUCAUGUAACAAGGUGGCAGCUUUAAUUAGUUGGUCCCAAAUGAAAUACUGUGUAGGGAACACAUGGGCACAUGUGCAGCACCAUAGACACAACACUGAUUUUUACACCAGUGAUCUGGUGUUAGAAAAUUUUUAGUAGGGUCCAGGGUAGUAUCUGGGGAGCAGAGGAGGGAGGGAAGUCCUCAUCUGUGAAAGUCUUUGGAUACAAAAAAAUCGGGAAACUGGAAUUGAGCACAGUUCUCCUUGUAGGAAAUGGGACAAUUUCAAACAUAUCCCUCAGCAUAAGUAGUUAGCAAAAGCAUUUAUUGUAUUUAUCCUUUGUAGUUUUGUUCAUUUUCUUUUAAGGUUGUGUGGGAAGGGGUCUAAGAGAGCCUUCACUCUUCCAAAGAAGACGAUGCUGACCACUGGUGAGGAUUUGUCCUCGACAAAUUCAGAGAGAUCAUUCCUUGUGAACCUGUAUUUUUCUGUGUGAAUUCUGUUCCUCUAGUCAACUUUUGGAAAAUGAAUACUGUAAGCAGAAAAGCAGAGUUGUUUUUGUGUUUUUAAGAAGUGCCAGUUGCUGCACACUGGACUGUUAGAAAUCUAUUCCAUGUACUGAAUACAUUACCAGAUAAUUAAGGCUAACAACUAAAAUGUUAUUCCAGAUUUUGCCUCAUUUAUUUCCCAUUAGUGUCUGUAAAUGAAAAUGUAACUAUUGCAUUUCUGAUUGCUGUAAUUCCCUCAAGCAUGCAGGCUUUACUAGGCAUUGCACAGAAAUCUACGGGCUGACAGAAAACAAAAGGACAUUCGUGGUGCACAGAUGGAGCUAAAAGUUUUCCAUAGAAUAAGCAAUAUGACCAAAUUAAAAAUAAAAAGAGGCAGUGGCAAAACUAGACACAUUUUAAAAAGCUCAUUCCUCCCUCCUGUAAUAGUGGAAUGUAGUGAAGUUUUACAUCAUGAGCCAUUCUGGGGAAUAAUAUUGAACAAAACCAUCCUGACGAACCUGGGCACUUUUUUCUUUUGUUUCCUUAACACAAAAAGGUGAGAUUGGGGCUUUUAAACCUGGUUAAAUAACAGCACCACAGGAUAGGAAACCACUGGAUCAUAAAUUGUAACUGCUUCAAGCACUGGCUGAGAGGGGUCACGUGUCAUAGGAUUGGUCAACAUCUGGUUGAGAAUUCCUCGUAGCAGAGCAUUUAAUCACAUGCUUGACUUAAAAUGCAUAGGUUAGCACUGUUGUUGAAUAGGGGUGUCAUUCCUUUUUGAGAUAAUGGCAACAUAUAGCUUGGCCUUGAAUCUACAGGAGUAAAAAAAAUUGUACAAAUCUGUGAUGUAGAGAGUUGUACAGUACAGUUGGACAUGGCUGACCCCCUCCUGGGAUACAGCUGCCACAUAAGUAAAGGCUGGAUUCUAACAGCUCAUUCACUCUGGUGAUUUUUAUUUGUUACCUUAAAGUUGUGGCUGUUUUCCCUUCUGUUGAGAGAGGAUGCCUUGAAGAUAUGUGUGCACCAGAACUUUAAAUAGAAUAUCUUGUGGGCGUAUCUUGUAUCCUGAGAGGCUCAGUGUUUCUCUUUCUCUGUCACUAUUGGUAAGUUUGGGGAUGAGCAGCAGUUAAAUCUGGAAUUUUUUAAUGAUGAAAAGCAGUUGUAACUCCAGGGAAGCAUUUGAAAGAGCAGCUUUCUUUAAAAACCCUUAGUAAUACAGUCAAAGAUAAUGUCCUGAAUAUUAAAGUAAGACACAUUUAAGGGUGGUUUUGGUGUUUCAGAAGCUGCUUGCUCCUGAAAUGGUGGUUCAAAACGUUAGAAGGCACAGACAAGUCUAUGAUGUGAGAAUCAGUUGGCCUCAUUCCUGCAGUGAAACAGCAGUCUUCAUCCUGCAACCUUGCUAGCUGAGCAAGGGCAUUUAUUCAAGAAAUAAGGUUCUCCUAGAAAAAAAAAAAAGUAACAUACUGCUUGCUGUCUGGCAGCUAAUUAACCAUUUUUAUGUGCAGCAGAUGCUUUGUGGCAUCAGGCCCUCCCAACCCUUACACUGUUUGUCCUGCCAUGGAUUGCUCUGCCCCUCUACAGGUGUUACUUUACUGCAGUUUGCCUGUAACCUGAGCUGGCCAUGUUUGUCUUACAUUGCUGGAUACCCACUGCAUAUCUUGAUUUGGCUUUGUGAACUUCCUUUGUGUACAGCACUAUAACGGGGCGCUUCUUGCUCUUUGCAGGGAGUUAUUCAAAUCCCAGUUUAAUAGUUCCUGGUUCACUCCAUCUGUUGAUACAUUGCCAGUAUCUGAGUCUGUGCACUAAGUCUUUGUGAGACUGAAGUCCUUCCUUGUAGUCCGUAUAAGCUGAAAUCUUCAACUGUAUUCUGUUCUGUAAAUCAUUUAUCUCUGUGCCUUUUAAGAAGUGGCCUACCUUUCCCCUUGGGGCCACUGGUCUUGAACGUAUUUAUUUUUUUGGCAGAGCGCCAUGAAUGAAUCAUAGCCCUGAGCAGCUCAGUCUGGGCUCCUCUCGAUUGUUAGUAGAGAAUACUUGGGGCAGUUGUUACAGUGCCUUGCUAUGUGAGACUUUAAGAGAAGAGAGAUUGAUUUCAGACUUGUUAGUUGCUUUUGAAGUUCCUCAACAGUAUGUGGAAAUGAUUUCUUAUGGUUGUACAGCUGUAAUCCACUAAAAUAACUCGUGGUUGUUGAAUGGGAAGUUGGUACAUGGGAAUAUGUUACUAACUCUUUGUUCUAAUGAGGUGUGUUUACUCUUUCACAAAAAAUAGCCGCUUUAGCUUUUAUUCCAUUUGUACCUUUCCUUUUUAUACCUUCCUGCUCCAUUUCCAUACUUCUUUAUUGUUUCUCUUCUUGACUUAAUUCUUGAGUCUUUCCUUUUGUUCUUUGGACAUCCCUCUUUUCUGGUUUGGCUGCCCCACCAUGGAUAUUGUUUCAUACUCCCUCCCUCUUCUAUUUUUUUUGUAACAGUGCUUUCAUGAAAGGCAACCAGGCAGAUGAUUUCUUUCUGAUGUCUUAAAAGGCUUCUUUGUAAUGAAGAGCCUGGAGCCAAUCAGACUACUGAGGAUUUCCGUAGGUGAGUCAGCAGUAUGGGCCUGGCUGGCUCUGAGUCCCACAGUGCCAGUGAAGUAUGGAACUAUCUUAUGCUUCAGAGGGAAUGAAGUAGAUGACAAUGGGAAAUCAAAAUUCGACUGGAUACAUCACCAUAGAUUCUGGUUUCCACUUCUUUGUUAACUUGCCCACUGCUGUGAGCAGGCCAUUUGGUUAGCAGUGGGAUGUUUGGCUGCUCCUAAACUUCGGAUUUGGGCAGCGCCCAAAGCUGUAGGACACAGUAUGCUGACCUCCUCCAUCAGCACUUGUGGGAUGUGUUCUUUAUCACCUGCACAUUUCCCGUUUUCCGAGUGUUUGAGCAGUGAGUUUGUCCAGCUGGUUGGCUGUGGGACCCCUCAAAUAGCACGUGUAUUGAGUGCACCUGCCUGUUUUAACUGCAGAGCCUGUACUUCUCACCUGUGCUUCAGGGAGGCUUCUCUUUAGAUUUGGUUGACCUUCAGUGUGAGGGAAUUGGACCAACAGACGGGGAGUAACAGCUGCAACCUGACCAUAAACAAGGUGCCUGUAAGUUAGCCCACAGCUAAGAUGUUUGCAACAAAAAUCUUUGCCAAAUUGGGAAGAUAAAGAUGAAUACAGAGGCCAGUAUUCCUGGGUGGCUUAGGGAACUGAACUGUGAGGUCCUUGUUCUCCAAAAGGUGGUAAGGCUGUUCUGACUUGGGAAACUUCAGAGUAAACAGAGCCCUUGGUGAGUGUCCAGUGGAGGGGGAUCCAAGCAGGGUUGUGACUCAUGCCUUUUCCCAGCAAUUAAUUUAAAAAUAGAAUUGACAUUGAAAUAUGCUUUGAAGGUCAGAAUGUCAGGUCAGUGUGUGUCUGAUAGUUUUUUAUGGGUGAGGUGUUGACAGAGGACAAAGUAUUCAUUUUCAAAUUCAGUACUGCUGGCAGUAUAUUCUAUGUAGAAAACGAAUUUUCUUUGUAUUAGUUACUGCAGGAAGAAGAGACAUUACCUCUACAUAGGUAUUUUCAGGUAUAUUUUUUGUUGAAGUGAACAGCUGCUGUCACUUUUGAUACUGUGGUUUCAUAAAAUUUUGCAGUGACCUUAUUUACCUGCUUUUCUACAUAAAAAUCUACAUCACAGUUGCUGAUUGAUCCUGAACUUAAUAACUGCCUUAGGGAGAGGCAGUAAUCACUUUACUCUUGCAUGUUUUAACCUCUAACUCAGACUGGUUAAAUCAGAGAUGUUAAGAAAUGGGUUAAAUUUUAGUACAUGAACAGGAAGCUUCAGACUAUACAUUCUGAAAUUAUUCAUGAAAGCUGCAAAUAUUUUAGUUACAUCUUUAGUAGAACCUUCAUGUCAUUUUUGCCUUCACAAUUCAGCGUUCUGCCAAAACCUUCUCAUUAGUGGUGGGUGGCUAUUUUGACGAUUAUGCACAAUUUUUUUCUGAGAAAUUGAAGGUAUUGCAGCUGCAAAGACAAUAUUCUGAACUGACUGAAACUUCCUGCAAGUGCCAUGGCUAUAGAGGAUUGCUUCUGCUUUUGAAUUUGAAUAGAAUUUGAUUCUUGGGAGUUUGCAACCACAAAGGACUGUCUUAAGAACAAAACAAACCAAACACUGGUCAUAACACUAUGGUUCCUUCACUUGCCUUUGUUGUACUGUGAGACCUUCUUUGAAAGAUUUGAGCCUGAUGUUUAAGAUACCUCCUGUACUAAUUAAACAGGCCAAGUAAAUGGUAAAAUAUCUCAUUUAUUUUAUUAAUUUGUAUUAUUUCUCUACGUGGAAUCUAUCAGCUCUCUGAAAUACUUGUUAAAAUUGAAAGGUUCUACUCCCACACAGAGGAUUAUUUUUUUAAUCUGCCUCCUGCCAAAGCUUCUCCAAACCUUAGUAGGGAAGCAGGAAGGGGGGGAGGGAGCAUUCAGUGGGUUUUUUGGGGUUUUGUUUGUGAUUUUGGUUUGUUCUUUUAAUGUUGCUAUCCUCAAGUUGUCUUGCUCUUAGCAGUGGAGAAAUGUCUGGCUCACUCCUUGUACGAGACAAUAGUGAAAAGCCAAGAAAGUUUGGCUCCUUAGAAUGUUUCAAAAAUUGGUGCAGGACAGGGGGCAGAGCUGACAUAAAGCAGCCUACCAAUGUCUGUCUCAUGAUAUUGUCACAGUGCUUUGGCAUUACAGCCUGGGGCAAGGCUUUUUAAAACCAAGUUAUUUUCACAAUAAAUUCUAGACUAUCUCUUUUUUCUUUUUUUUUUUUUCCCCUCUGUUUUUUUUCCCCUCAUUGUCUCCCAAGUCUGGUGUUGGGGAAUAAAUCCUAGAUGGGGAGAUUGAACACAUUCUGCACGCUCCUGGUUAACUUUGAGCCUGCAUCCUUGGAGUAGACUUGCCAAGCAGAAGACUGAGUCAGUAGCAAUUUCAUAGUUUGAAGGUGAGUUUGUACAGACAACAGUAGAUGAUCACUGUGCUUUAAAGUCUUACAUUUAAAGUGUAUUAUAUUUAAGGGUUGUACUUGCACAGAUGCUUUUAAAGUAAAGUUCUGGUUUUUUUCUGCUUUGCUUUUUGUUCUUUAAAGAAUGUCUCCUCUGUUCCUUGUCUAUAGUUUACUUGUGACUAAUUUUCAGUUUAAAAUUGAAAAUGUGUUACUUGUAUUAUAGAAUCAUAGAAUCAUUUAGGUUGGAAAAGACCUCCAGGAUCCUCGAGUGCAACCUUUGACCAAUAUGGUGUGAUUCCAUGACACAUCCUUGAGCUGACAGAUGGAUAUUCCUAAGGGCCUACACAAUGUCCUGGUGCCCAGUUCCUUUAGGCAGGCAUGUUACUCUUAUCCAGUCACUGCUGGCUCAGAAGAAAUUCUGGUGACUUUGCUUAUAGCCUGGAAAUGUAUGGAGAUGAUGUAGCUUACAAUAAGUUAGUGUGGAAACUCAGAAAAUAGGGUUGUAUCUUAUCAGGAACUGCAACCUGUCCAUGAUUUUAAUGAUCCCAGUGGCACUGAAGUUCCUCUUGACCUAUGUGAAAGGAUACAAAUCUAAUAGGGAGUUAAAUCUAUUAUAUGUAUGUGGGAGCCCCUGGUGGUCUAGUGGUUAAGGGCGCGGUGCUGUCUCCGCCGAGGUCCGGAUUCGAUUCCUGGUCAGGGACACUCCCCGGGCAGAUGGAGCUCGUUAGCCCUUAAAGGCAACCCACCUACGUCCUGAGGACCUCGCUGCCACCGUCCAAGCUCGCUUGGCCCUGGCAGAUGAACCUUAGGAUUAAAGGGUGGGCUCAGUUCCGCGCACACUGUGUCUCACCUAAAAAAUCCAAUGCGCAGGCUGGAAGGUGGAAAGACCUUCCCCGGAUCUUCGCUCGCGAAGACUGGCCAUUAUUAUUGUUAUUAUAUGUAUGUGUUUGUUGCACAAGAAAAAAGUGUACAAUAAAGAGGUUGCUUUGAAUAUUUAUCUACAUAUGUUUAUCAUUGUUAUACUGACCUUUCUUUUACGCUGAAUUGGUCAUUUAGUCUUUCUGUGAACCAUUUGUGGUUUUUUUAUCAGUGUUUAACAAAACUUGGAUAAAUUAAAACCAGUGGGUGUGACCAAAGGUUGCUUUUAAUAUGUUAAUCUGACACUCCUUUAUUUUUAAUUUUUUUUCCUCAGCUGUCUGGAUUGUCUUCAUUUUAUGGGAACCUCCAUAGGGUGGAAUCUUUUCUAGAACAAAGCAAGCAAAAAGUACCUGUGGUUAAAUGUUCUGAAAGAACAGAGUUGGUGGUGUUCAUAUUUCUGUUUGAGUCUGAAACUAUCUCAUUGUUUGCUUGAAGAUUAUGCUGCUGUUAUGACCCUGCUCCAACUGAAAUUAUACUGUCUCUUUUAAUCUGCCUUUGGAUGAUGAGGCAGACAAUUACAAAGAAGACAAGCUUUGUCUUGAAGCAGGUAAUAAAUAAUCAUCUCCAUCAACUUACAGUUUGGAUCAACUUGUCUGUCUGGAAUUACUGCAGUUUAACACAUUAUGGUCUAAUGAAAUAAUAAACUAUCUUCAAAAAAAUUUAAAGUGUAUUUUUAAAUCUUACAUUCUACAGUGUUUUGGAUUUUGGAUGUGCUUUUAUAUAAGGUAGCUUUGAGAUGCAGUGCAAAUUAAUCCAGAUUUUUGCAGGGAAGAGUUUUAGAUUCAGAGCUUAGGAGUGUUAACAUGGAAGCUGUCAUUUGGUGUAAAAUCAACCUGUUUUAUUAAAAGAAUGUGUGGAUAGAUGGAAGUAUGCAUUGUAGUUGUACUGACAGGGAUUGUGAAGCAAUGACAUGCCUUAUUAAGCUGACAAGUAAUGGUGUUUUGUGAUAGCUUUGGGAAAAGUGUUUGCUUUUGGCAUCAACCUAAUCAUCUUUGUGCAAAGCUUAGUAUGUCUUGGGCUUCUCUUCAGAUUCAAGGUAACUUCAUGCAUUCCUCUCUGUUGUAACAGAAAUAACUGUAUUGUUGCAGUUUGGAAAACUAAAUGAGAUUGCAGUAAGAAACUGGAAGAACUUCCAUAAAUUCCUCUCUUACAUGCAGUGAUACCAGCUGGCAAAUUACUUCCUUAGAUGGGCACAUAAAGAAAAAGAAACCAUCUCUUUGUAGCUCUACACUUGUAUUGUUGAUUGAAGCAACACACAACAUGUGCCUCCUGCUGCUCCAAUUAGAAGCUGAAAUCACUCAAAGAUAGUCUACCCAAGCAGGCUGGAGUCCCUUUGCACGUGGAGCACCCAUGGCUGGUGAACACUGCAGACUUUCACAAUAGUGAGGCUAUUACUGCUGGGACCCACAUGGAGGGAGAUACUUGCCCAAGGCAUUUUUAACCAACUCUUAGUAUGGUGAAAAUGUUUUAUUUUUUUGGUUGGUCAUGGAACAGAUGUCAGGCCUAAUUUCAAUAGUAAUUAUAAGAUUAAUGUUUGAGUAGGGUCUGUAGAACUGGGCCAUCACAUCUCCCUGCAGAUUGCAACUGCACUUGCUAGUAUACAGUUUUCCCCCUCUGGUUUCAGGUCCUAUCCUUCUUUCAUACUAAAAAGAAGAAAAAAGUAUUAAAACAAUUUGUGAAACAGUGGUAACUCUCAAAACAUACUUAGAAAUGACUUGGUGGCUUUUGGUGCUUGUGAAAUAGCAGUGUCUUUCUGUGACCCUGUGCUAACACAUUGUUUGAGGAGCUCAGAGGGCCUGGGGUGUGUGGCAGAUCUCUGUGACUGCCACAUCCACAGCAGGAAGGGUCAGGAGACACUGAUCCUGCGGCACCUGAGACCACCAGCAGUAACAAUCCUGGUCCCUCAUGCAGGGCUUAAAUCUUCUGUUGCAGUGGCCAUACUGUAUGGAGAAUGUGACUAAUUUUUGGUGAUUAAUACACAUUUGGAACAGGAGUAGCAACUGGAGUCUGUCCCAGGAUUUGCAUCAUACCUUAGGUGCCUUACCUAAGGCUGAAGCACUACUUUUGUUUUAGUUCAGCUAGGACCCCUUAACUGUCUCAAUCACUUUUUGGGUUUCAGCAAAGUAUAUUUUUGCUGGUAUCCGAGUCAGCAAAGAGCCUUUGAUGUAAUUCAGUUAGAAAGUGCAUGCAAAAUGGAAAACAUAUUUUAACAGGCGAGCAAAACAAAAUCCUGUUUGCCCCCCAAGACUGGUUUUGCUUUACUAGUUUGUUGAUUUGCCUUUUGAGCAGCUUUGCUGAGCGUUAAGCUGUGUUGAACUCAGCAGCUUCAGCAAGGUUUUCUUCUGGUGUUUUCAAAGAUUUCCAGCGUUUGGCAAUUUGCACUUCAUUGGUUUGGUUUUAACAAAUGUUUACACCUCACUGCAGUGGGGAAGUCUGUCUGUCUGCACCAGCAGUGUCUGUUGGGAAUGCUCAGGGUCACUGUUCCCAGCAAGCUGAUGUUCCUCAGGUUCUUUAGAUGUUUAAUAAAUAUCCUGUUGUAAAACUUUUUCUGGGAGCUGUAAUAGCACAUCCAAAGGAUGAAAAGCUGUUUUUGACCUCUCCUUUUUCAAGCUCUUCUCAUCCCAGGAGCUCUGUGUUAUUAAACAAACCGUUCCUACCUAUUCCCUCUGGCAGUUAUAAACAGGAGUGGCAGACUUUUUUCUUAAAGAUGCAUAUUAAAAAGUAAUUACUCUGCAGGAAUUAAUUCUUGUGAUGUGUACCAAUUUCUAGUUCAGAUCUUUUCCAGUG